GGGCAUCGCCCGUCAAGUGCGGAAAUGUAGCGUUAAGGAGGGUCCAUUAGCACGCCGUCUUCGCCUGCUCGCUCAAGUCCAUCUUGAACGGGGUCACACAGAGGGUGACAUGCCCGUAGAGCACAAGGUGUCGAUCGUGCGGACCUCUCCUCAGAGUCGGUUUGCUUGAGAGUGCAGACCUAAGUGGGUGGUAAACUCCAUCUAAGGCUAAAUACAACCACGAGACCGAUAGCACACAAGUACCAUGAGGGAAAGGUGAAAAGAACUUUGAAGAGAGAGUUCAAGAGUACGUGAAACUGAGCUGGUGGAAACGGACGAGCACGGAAAGUCCGAAUGGGGAGACUCAGGCCUCGCCCUUUGCCUGGGGCGUGUCUCUGUUGCGUGGCGGGAUAUGGGUGCGCUGGUACCCGGAUACCUGUUGUGCUUCUGGGGGCAUGUUUCUCUGGGUGGGUGGACUGCACUUCUCCCCUAGUAGGACGCCGCGACCCGUUGGGAGGCCGCCGUGGCCCGUAGCAUUCCUCUCGUAUCUCAUACGGCAGGAGGCACGCGGUGACCUGGUCGGCGCCCGACGGUAGCAAACUGUGGCGGGACCGCCUUCUCGGCGCCUUUGCCCCGUACUCGGGGUUAUGGUCUGGUCCCAGUCCCGGUCAGCGGCGCUUCUGCUUCCGCAACUCGACCGACCCGUCUUGAAACACGGACCAAGGAGUCUAACAUGUGCGCAAGUCAUUGGGUUUUAAAACCUAAAGGCGGAAUGAAAGUAAAGGGCGUUCUAAAGCGUUCUAAGGGGUGAUGGUACGGCUCAUGCCGGACCCGCAACCUCGGGGCGCCUCAUUCUCUCUGAGAGGAGGUGCACCUGUAGCGCACAUGAUGGGACCCGAAAGAUGGUGAACUAUGCGUGGUGCGGGUGAAGCCAGGGGAAACCCUGGUGGAGGUCCGCAAUGGUUCUGACGUGCAAAUCGAUCGUCGGAACUGCGCAUAGGGGCGAAAGACCAAUCGAACCGUCUAGUAGCUGGUUCCCUCCGAAGUUUCCCUCAGGAUAGCUGGCAUUCAUACGGAUCGAGUCUCAUCCGGUAAAGCGAAUGAUUAGAGGCCUUGGGGCCGAAACGACCUCAACCUAUUCUCAAACUUUAAAUGGGUGAGAGCCCCGGCCUGCGUAAGGGCAGUUUCGCAGAGGCCGGGGUCUUGGCUCAAAGGAUCUCGAGUGCCAAGUGGGCCAAUUUUGGUAAGCAGAACUGGCGCUGUGGGAUGAACCAAACGCAGAGUUAAAGCGCAUAAAGGCCGCUCAUCAGAAGACCAUUUAAAAAGCGUUGGUUGCUGAAGACAGCAGGACGGUGGCCAUGGAAGUCGGAAUCCGCUAAGGAGUGUGUAACAACUCACCUGCCGAAGCAACUAGCCUUGAAAAUGGAUUGCGUUGUAGCGCGCUGCUUAUACUCUGCCGCCAGCGGCAAAUCUGGUCUCUUGUAGGCCGUGAAGCCCUGGUGAGUAGGAGGGUCGCACCGGUGUGCGCAGAAGCGUCGGGCGUAGGCCCGCGUGGAGCCGCCGGUGGUGCAGAUCUUGGUGGUAGUAGCAAAUACACUUGAGAGGCCCAGGUGGACUGAUGUGGUGAAGGGUUCCUUGGCAACAGCCGUUGCACAGGGGUGAGUCGAUCCUAAGCCCUAGGGGAAACCCGACAGAGAUGCGCGGCAGUCACAAGGAGAGGGGCUGCUCCUUUGCCGCCAUCGGGCGAAAGGGAAUCCGGUUAAUAUUCCGGAACCCGUUUUGGGAACCGUCCGAGGCCCUCAUACCUCGUCCGGGUGACCGGAAUAACCCCGAGGAAGCCUUCGGGAGCAGUCGGAAGAGUUUUCUUUUCUGCUAAAGCACGCACGCUCUCUGGAAUCAUCUCGCAUGGAGAUAGAGACACCGCGGAGCUAAGAGCAUCGCACUUGCGGCGGUGUCGACUGUUUCCCCUAGGACAUUGAAAACUCGGGCGAGGGCUACGCGGACACUCCCAUACGGUUCGUACCGAAACCGCAUCAGUCGCCGAGUCCAGAGC
rnacentral:rRNA from 1 species